rnacentral:sRNA from 1 species
GCUGGGCACGGUGGCGCAUGCUUGUCAUCCCAGUGGCUCGGGAGGCUGAGUCAGGGGGAUCACCAGUUCAAAGCCAGCCUCAGCCAAAGCAAGGCGCUAAGCAACUCAGUGAGACCCUGUCUCUA